rnacentral:lncRNA from 1 species
AGAAGGUUCUUGUCUGGUAUGAGGGUCCAUUUGUGCCAGGGUUUCACCUCUUGCAUUAGCUCCUGGAACACAUGUCGCCAUUGCUCUGUGUCUCCUAUGUCUUCUUCCAUCAUGGCUACAGUGCUGGGUCCAGGCUGGGGCAGGGUCUUCUGGGUCCAGAAAGAUCUGUGGCAAGAGGGGAAUUGUUCACUCAGACAGCAAGGCUUCAGGCUGGCAGUCCCUCUGAGGACCUGAAUUGGGACUGUAGUUCAGAUCCUUCUGUCCCAGGGACAAAGGUCAGUUGAGUCUGUUCCCAAGUUCAGAGGACAGCAGUGGACAACCACAAGAAAUCACAAAACUCCAAGCUUUGGUUUUUAAGGUCUCAAUACACUAGUGAGGGAGAAAGUUCUGGAGUCCAAAGCAGGGAUGAGCGGCCUCUGGCAGAGUCUCUGAAAGGGCUGGAGGCUACUCUUGCCUUUUCUGGUUUUAACAUUUGGAAAUCUUCAUCUUUUGUGCUGCUGAGCUCCUACUUGAGGCAAAAGAGGCCUCCCUGGGAGUCCCACACUCUGGGAAGUCCUCAGUCACACCUAGUAUCUCAGGAGGAUGGUGGGUGAUCUGUAGACAUCCAGCUGUUCCCCGCGCCCACCAACCACAGCCUGACCCCGGAGGUCUCCGGCCCAACCAAAUUUUCCACUUACCAGAAAUCGAAGCUGGUGCAGCCAGUGUUUGCCUGGGAGAUUAGGUGAUGUGUCCCUAGAUGAGUGGAAGGCUGCUGGUCCAAGACCAACAGGAACCCAUUGCCUUCCUCCACAAGAAGGUUGGCUCACUAUCACCCUAAACCGAGGAAGGCAGAGAGGAGCACAGUUGGAUCAGGCAGUACUCUAUUUAAGGCAGACAAGAUUGGGAGUGUCUACACCCCGAGAUUCCAUCCACAGAUAGGGUGGGUCUUCCUAUCAACUGAUUGCCCUGGCUGCUUCCCAAACUGGACGCUCCGCAGCCUGGAAGAAAAGAAGGAAACCAGGGGGGAGGGGCUUCCUGUGGUUUGGAAACUGAGUUUCUCCAGGCUUCUCCCGACCGCCUCUGCCCUACAUCACAGCUUUAUGGCCAGACUCACACCAUGGUCUUUUCUCCCUGCUUUCAUUUAGUUUCUCAAUGUUAUUUGCUCAGUUAUAAAUUAACUACAUCAUUUGGGAAGGUAGUUCAGUUUCUAUUUUUUGGCUCUCCCCCUUUUCAGCUUUUCACUAUGGGGUAUCCUUCUCUCCCCCACCCCCAACCCCCAGUUGCUUAUUCCGGCUUUCGAUAAAUAGGAGUUCUCUAUUUAUGGUCAAUGGUGCUAUGCUCCUCACAUGUUUGGGGUCUUUCCUAGAGGUCUCACUGUGUAAGACAGUCCCUAGGGCUGGUGCUGACAUAUUUCCGAGAGAAAGGAGGCUACUGUGUUUCUAAUAUGGAAAGUACAAAUGUUAGGGGAGUUUGUUCCUAGUUGUGGUGCCGGCUGUGGACUCACUGUUGAUAAGUCAACAACUGAACAUAAACUGGGUCAGCUUUAAACAAAGGUUUAAAGCUAGGCUUGCAUUAGCCUCUCCUGGGGAAAAGGGUGAAUGCCUAGUCACAGGGAUGUCACUGAGCUUGUACUGGUCAGGUGACUGAAGCACAAGCAGAGGACUGCUAGACCCUCACGUAGUCCCCUUAGGAGAAACGGCUCUGUGUUCAAGACAACAGUUAGGGCCUCCAUGUGCAGCAGGAAUUAACUAUGCCUUCCUUUGCUCACCUCGUGGUGGCUUGCCUCCUCUCCUGCAUUAUACAGGAGAGCUAAGUUGGUAGUGAAACUAAAUCUUUGCCUCUCUCCAAUUUUUUUUUUUAAGAAUUUCUUUUCUUUCUUUCUUUCUUUUUUUUUUUUUUUUUUAAGAUUUAUUUAUUUUAUAUAUGUGAGUACACUGUCUUCAGACACACCAGAAGAGUGCAUCAGAUCCCAUUACAGAUGGCUGUGAGCCACCAUGUGGUUGCUGGGAAUUGAACUCAGGACCUUCAGAAGAGCAGUCAGUGCUCUUUACCUGCUGAGCCAUCUCUCCAGCCCCCUCUCUCCAAUUUUUGUUUAGAAUGUUACUAAAGCCUUAACUUAGUUAGCCAGCAAUCCUAUACCCUGCGGGUCCCCAAGACCAACAUCCAAGGUUCUCUCUUAUCAGCUCAGACCUCUGAGCCCAUGGUUAGGACUUGUGGACCUUUCCCAAGUGGGUUGAAUUGUGACAUCCCAAAUGAGGUAUCUACUUGUGAAUGUGUGUGGAAAACUUGAGUGUUUUCAGAUGUAAUUAAGGACCCGAGAGAAGAGAAGAGACCUUCUUUGCAAGAUUUAGAGUUUCUGUGGCUACCAGGACAUAGCAUAGCAGCAAGAAGACAGGUGAAAGGCCAAACUGCAUGUCACUCACAACCUGACCUGGAGAAGGAUGCCAGGCGAGCCUACACAGCGUGCCCAGGGACACGGAACAGCAAAGUGUAGCUACAGAGCACAGCAGGAGCAUCUUUAGGCUUGCAUUAGCCUCUCCUGGGAAAAUGAGCCGAUGUCUAGUCACUCCAGGUCAAAGUCCAGCAGCAGGCAUCUUUCCCAUGGUAUGCAGAGGGAGGUGUGACACAGAAGCACAGGAGAAGAACCAUCAGAGACACAAGCAGUGACUAGGCUUACAUUGUCACAAGCAAAGGAACACCUGGGACCCGAAGAGCAGAAGUUUCUCCCCGGACCCUCUGAAUGGGCAGAAGGACUGCAGACCACUUACUUUUGAACGUCUUGCUUGCAGAACCGUAAAUAACCACUCAUAAGCUUGGGUUGUGAAAUUCUCAGAGGCAAGCUCAUCACCAGAUGUGGCCCACAGAGAGAAGAGCCCCAGCCUGGCUCUGAGUCCACAUGCAAGGAAGGGCGACCAUGCCCAGAAGAGGAGACGAAUCUCCAUUGUGACGUUGCUAGAAGAUGCUUGGUGGGACAAUGUAGAAGGUUUCCUCCCUGGUUUCAGAGCAGGCUGCUGCAGUGCUGGGACUACGAACACGCCACCAUGCCCAGACUUAUUUCUUUCCAUAUGGAGUUGGAGAUCAAACUCAGGCCUCCACACUUUUGAGGUUACCUCCCUCCCCCAGCUUCCACCUGCCUUUAGCAAGGGACACCUUCCAUGAUAAACCAGGCAGGCCUGGCAUUUUCCACAAUCCCCACCUGAGUCUUCUGAUAGACCUGAGGAGAGGCAAAGUUCCUCAUAGACGGAUGCCGGGAACACACAAUGCAUGGGGAUGCCAUGGAGGACGGCAGAGAGGACUGAGGCCUUCAGCUCCCCUGAAGCAACAUUUACUUGACAUUGUAAACCGAGGGAUGCACACUGGGGAUGGGACUCUGACCCUCUGUGAGAACAGCCCAGGAACUGUGUGUUGCAUUGCGGAAACCCUCUGAAGGGUCAGCACUGUCGAAACAAAACAAAGUCAAAAUGAAGACCCCAGGCACCCAGUUUAAUGCAAGCUGGAGUUCAGAUGUUGUCUCAGAUAUGAUUCUUAUUCAGCCAGUCAGUAUGUGUUUCCUGAAAUCUCACUGGUGUCACAGAGAGACAGCAGAGUGAUAUGCGUUGGCGGCCGGAUGACUUGAAAUGGCACUGCAAACACAAGAUGAUUUUACUUACGAAAUAUGGAGUUUUCAUAAAAUAGUUUGGGAUGAAGGAGACGGAGAAAAAGAACAAUGGGAAACCCCAGAAGACAAAACCUUUAAAAGUUCUUACGUGCUUGGUAUGCCUCUCCCUACUAAAUGUAAAAGAAAUCCCCCCAAAUAAAUAGUUUAAGAAAGUUUUGUAAACAGCAACUUAAUAAAAUUUACCCUA